GUGACUCACGCCUGUAACCCCAGGAGUUUGUGACCAGCCCGGCCAACAUGGUGAAACCCCGUCUCUACUAAACACACACACACACACACACACACACACACACACACUCUUAGCCGGGUGUGGUGGCGGGCGCCUGUAAUCCCAGCCACUCGGGAGGCUGAGGCAGGAGAAUUGCUUGAACCUGGGAGGCGGAGCUUGCAGUGAGCCAAGAUCGUGCCAUUGCACUCCAGCCUGGGCUACAAAAGCGAAACUCCGUCUCAAAAAAAAAAAAAAAAAAAAAAAAUUCAAGCCUAGUGGAUUGGAAAUACCACUUUCCCUGUCUUCCUUCAUCCUUUCCUUAGUCACUAUCUAGACACCCUUUUUACUGGGAGUCUGGGUUACAGGGUUACAUUAACCAGAACCUUAAAGAGAAAAAUACUGUAAUUGCAAAAACGACCAGCCUUUUAAAAUGGAACAAAAGAGACUAGAAAAUAUCAGAACCCACUGCACAGUAGAAAUAUGACUAUGACUUCCUGAAACUUUUGUUUUAGUUCCAAACCUGGGUAGAAGGCCUACGUUGCAAUGUAAAAAAUUAAUUCUUUGAUUUGUGAUCAAAGUGCUUGAAAGAUGUGGUUAUAUAUGAUGUUUGAAAUUGGUUUUCUUUUUUUUUUAAUUAAUAUAUCACAGAGGUCACGCUGUGUCAAUGAAUAUAAGUUUUAGCACUUGAAUUUUCUUUUCUUUUUUUUGAGACUGAGCCACCUUAUCACCCAGGCUGGAGUGCAGUGGCGAGAUCUCGGCUCACUGCAACUUUCACCUCCUGGGUUCAAGCGA
rnacentral:lncRNA from 10 species